rnacentral:rRNA from 1 species
GACCUUCGAUGGACGAAGUCUGACGGAGCACGCCGCGUGAGUGAUGAAGGUUUUCGGAUCGUAAAGCUCUGUUGUUAGGGAAGAACAAGUGCCGUUCAAAUAGGGCGGCACCUUGACGGUACCUAACCAGAAAGCCACGGCUAACUACGUGCCAGCAGCCGCGGUAAUACGUAGGUGGCAAGCGUUGUCCGGAAUUAUUGGGCGUAAAGGGCUCGCAGGCGGUUUCUUAAGUCUGAUGUGAAAGCCCCCGGCUCAACCGGGGAGGGUCAUUGGAAACUGGGGAACUUGAGUGCAGAAGAGGAGAGUGGAAUUCCACGUGUAGCGGUGAAAUGCGUAGAGAUGUGGAGGAACACCAGUGGCGAAGGCGACUCUCUGGUCUGUAACUGACGCUGAGGAGCGAAAGCGUGGGGAGCGAACAGGAUUAGAUACCCUGGUAGUCCACGCCGUAAACGAUGAGUGCUAAGUGUUAGGGGGUUUCCGCCCCUUAGUGCUGCAGCUAACGCAUUAAGCACUCCGCCUGGGGAGUACGGUCGCAAGACUGAAACUCAAAGGAAUUGACGGGGGCCCGCACAAGCGGUGGAGCAUGUGGUUUAAUUCGAAGCAACGCGAAGAACCUUACCAGGUCUUGACAUCCUCUGACAAUCCUAGAGAUAGGACGUCCCCUUCGGGGGCAGAGUGACAGGUGGUGCAUGGUUGUCGUCAGCUCGUGUCGUGAGAUGUUGGGUUAAGUCC